rnacentral:tRNA from 1 species
GUAUCCAUAGCUCAAUUGGAUAGAGUAUCCGCUUGCGAAGUGGACGGUUAGGGGUUCGAAUCCCCUUGGGUACACCA